AUGGGCGUGGCCACAGGUGUGUGUGUGUGGAAAGUACCAGUGUCGUUACAAGGGCCGAGUUUCCCUGCAGCUCCUCAUUGUGAUGAAAACAAACGUGUGGUGGGUGUGAGUGUGGGACAGGGGGUUUUGUGUGUUUGUGUGUGUGUGUUUCUGGGUGGAUUCCGCUCCUCUGAAGUGGGCAGAUAUGCCAGGGACACUGGGACUUUCCUGCUGUCCUUAUGGAUCGCGCUCCUCCGGGACAGAGCCUCAUUUGAAUCUUCAUCUCGUUCGUGUGGUUUCACUUUCUCAAGGAAAGCACGUUUAAUCUCCACAACAGUGUCUUCAUUCAGAUCCAUAUCACUUCAUUUCAACUCUCUUCUUCCCCCUUACAAAAUGCUAUUUUUAUUUUUCAUACAAAUUUUACCUUUUUUCUUUUUUUUACAAAUUCUGUUUCAGUUUACAUUUUCUGUAUAUUUUAAUGGAUUAAUAAUUAAAAGAUUAAUGCAUAAUCAGAAAGCAUGUCUAAUUAAUUGAAAUCAUGAAACAUAUACGAUUUAACAAUUCAUUCAAAAUGUAACAAAAAUAAAUUAAGACCCUUUGAAAUGCAUUUUAUCUUUGUUUUAUUCUUUUACCAAAUCAAAUUUUGUUUCUAUUUUCGCUUUUCUGAAUUUUUUUGAGUGGUUUAAUUAAUGUCUAAUUAAUGAAGUCAACAACAGUUUUUAACAAAUGCACGUUACAGAUCAAAAAUCAGUUUUUAGGGCGAUGUGAGAGAAGUAUUGUGUAUUUGGAGUGUAGUUUGUGGGGAUCUCACAGGUCUGCAGUCGAACUCCUGGUGAUUUCUCUCUCUUCUCACGGCGUUUCAUUUUCUCAGAAAAGCGGCAUUUAUGUAACAGCUCAUUAAACUAAUUUGUUUUUCAAGGAAGUAACUGGUGUGUUGUGUAAUGCGUUUGUUCGGUCGGACGAAGCUUUGUUGAUACGUUCACACACAAACCAUAACCAUUACUCUACAGCUAAUAUUAAUGACUCUAUGAGAACAAUGAAGUCACACCACAACUACUUUUUUCCAGCUGAUGGAUAACACUAUAUACAUAUAUACACAUUAGAUUAAAAUAUUAGCAUUAUGGAAUAUCUACUAUUAAUUGUGCAUGCGUUUUAAACUGAAGUGAUUAAACUGGAAUAAUAAUGAUAUUCAGUUGCUCUUACUGUGUUUUUGUUUGCUGUGAGCAGGGUUAUUAUGGUAAACUAUUAUAAUAAAAAUUCACUUGAACUUUUAAUUUAUCCAAAUCUAAUGAACUGAAAUAAAAUAAAUCCUUAAAAUAAAUCCAUAUUUUAAUUUUCAUAAAAAAAUUUCAGGUGUUUAACUUGACAUAAUGAAAUACCUAAAUCAUAAUAAAGCAACAAUAUAGACAUUUUAAAAAAGCAAAACACAAAAACAGAAUUACUAAAGCUUUUUCUUAAAAUAAAAUAUAAAAAUAAAACCUAAUAGAAUAUAUUUUUUAAAAACACGCGCUAUAAAUAAAUCUUUAAUGUGUUUAAUGUAAAUAGCCGUCGGGAUCCCCCAGACACUGGACUUUCAGUUUCAGUUUCAGAUGGACUGCUGUCAGAUGCUGGAAAACCCCUGCGACUGAAGAUGACCUUCAUCUGCUGAUAAUUAUAGAGCUGAAGGGGAACGGACGAGUUUGAAGAAGUUGUAAAGGUGAGAAUCUUCCAGCGGCCCGAUGAAGUGAAGCUGCUCGCCUCGGGACGUCCCGGAUCAAACUGAAGAUCAUGUGUGUGACCCUGGAGCACAAAACCAGUCAUGAGGGGCAGUUUUCUCAACUGACAUUUGUACAUCAUCUGAAUAAAUAAUCUCUCCAUUGAUGUAUGGUUUGUUAGGAGGACAAUAUUUGUCUGAGAUACAACUAUUUGAAAAUCUGGAAUCUGAGGGAGCAAAAAAAUCUAAAUAUUGAGAAAAUCAUCUUUAAAGUUGUUCAAAUGAAGUUCUUAACAAUGCAUAUUACUAAUCAAAAAUUAAGUUUUGAUAUAUUUACAGUAGGAAAUUUACUAAAUAUCUUCAUGGAACAUGAUCUUUACUUAAUAUCCUAAUGAUUUUUGGCAUAAAAGAGAAAUGUAUAAUUGUGACCCAUACAAUGUAUUGUUGUCUAUUGCUACAAAUAUCCCUGUGCUACUGAUGACUGCUUCUGCUGGAGCACAAAACCAGUCAUGAGGGGCAGUUUUCUCAACUGACAUUUGUACAUCAUCUGAAUAAAUAAUCUCUCCAUUGAUGUAUGGUUUGUUAGGAGGACAAUAUUUGUCUGAGAUACAACUAUUUGAAAAUCUGGAAUCUGAGGGAGCAAAAAAAUCUAAAUAUUGAGAAAAUCAUCUUUAAAGUUGUUCAAAUGAAGUUCUUAACAAUGCAUAUUACUAAUCAAAAAUUAAGUUUUGAUAUAUUUACAGUAGGAAAUUUACUAAAUAUCUUCAUGGAACAUGAUCUUUACUUAAUAUCCUAAUGAUUUUUGGCAUAAAAGAGAAAUGUAUAAUUGUGACCCAUACAAUGUAUUGUUGUCUAUUGCUACAAAUAUCCCUGUGCUACUGAUGACUGCUUCUGUGCUGCAGGGACACAUGUAGAAAGUAGAAGGAGACGAGUCUGAGCUGGGCUCGGCCCCAUGUGGCUCCCAUCAGAGGCCCCUCCGCGAUCCUGAAUUUAUGAGCGGAGUCAGCGUGUUUGCUUUGGACGCUCGUAUUUCUGUUCCUCCUGGAAGAAUUUCCACGCACGCACCGAGACGCUGGGAGUUUGUUUCACACACAGGGUAGUUAACUACAAUAAACCACCAUUAAAACCAUUCAAACAUUUUCAGUAACACUUUACUUAAAAGUAUUAAAUGCAUUAAUUAUGCCUUGCAAUGCACAUUAUAAUUCACUGUAUGAUCUCAUGAAUAAUCAUAACCACAGUUAUUAAACAUAUCUAUUCAUUGUUAAACCUUUAGAAAGAAUAAUGCAUGACAAACAACCAAUUUCAGAUUAAACCAAGAAUCUGCAAAUAUCAUAAUGCAUUUAACUUUGGUAACCAGUGUUUAUAAAAAAGUAAUGAUCAAUUUCUCAGAAUUCAAGUCAUUUUGUCAUCUCCAGUAAAUGAUUUUAAAAAGUUUUAAGGUAUUCAUACUGGAAAGCAAGAAAAACAACUGAGGAAGAGUUUAUUUUUUUUUUUUGGUAAUACUUUAUUUUAAGGUGUCCUUGUUACACGUUACAUGUGCUUACUAUUAUAAUAACAAUAAAUGAUGCAUAAUUACAUGCCAGCAACCCUAAUCCUUACCCUAAUUAUAUAACAAGUAUGUGUAGUUAAUUAAUAAUACUCAGUACUUAAAUGUAUAAUUACGCUGUGACAAGGACACCUUAAAAUAAAUCUUAACCUUUUUUUUUUUUUUGUGGGCAGUGUUGUGACCACAGGAGAUUUUCGCACUUGUUACUUGGGAAAAUAACAUCAGAAGUCACAUUAAGUUUAAUCAGCUUCACUCAAUAUAAUGAUUUUAGUUUUUGCACUGAAACACACUGGUCACUCCAGCAUCUCAGUGAUGAGUUGUGAAUGACUAAAAUUCAUAUUUAAUGGCUGUUCGUGCUGUAUUUCUGACUGUGAGUGUAAUGAAACUCCCCUAGAGCCGAUGUUGUAUUUCUCUCACAGCUUCAGUUUCCCACAUCUGUCAUGAGAUGAACAAAUCAGAUGAUUAUGAAUUAUUGUAUGUGACAUUUGAUCAUCUGGACAAAUAUAGUCAGAAAGCCCUAUAAGCUGAUGUUAUUGUUUGGAGAUGAAGUGAAUAUAGACGAGUGACUCAUUCGCUUCAUCUGUAGACAGGAAGUGUCGAUCUGAUUCUGAGACUGUGUGUGUGAGUGAUGAUGUGGGAUGUUUCAGACAGUCUGUGAAUGUCAGAUAUGAGCGUGUGGCUCAUUCCGCAGAAACACUGAGGUGAAGCCCUUCAAAAGUACCAGUAAGUGCCCUUGAGGAAUAUAUAUAUAUAUAAUACGUGUGUAAUUCAGUUUAAUGUUGCAACUAUUCAGUUAUUCGCUCUUUUAACACUUCAAAAAUAACUUUUUGCAGUGCAUAAUGAAUGAACCUUGUUGCUGUUUUAAUUAAUUUGUUGAUUCAUUAUUACUGUUUUGCUUCGGCCGUUUAUAAUUUAGUCUUGUGUGUUUAUUUUGUAUGGUCGUCUUGGCCAGGGCUUCCCUGAAAGAAGAGAUUUCCUUUUAUC
rnacentral:lncRNA from 1 species